rnacentral:lncRNA from 1 species
CCUUUUCCAGCCUCCUGAUUUUCUCAGUGUAGAGUCUCAUGGGAGCAGCUGUGAAGGGCAAAUACGGGUGCAUCACCAAGUGGAGCAUGGAUGUGUGGGUUUGAAGCUGAAAUAGUUCAAAAACUGGCACGAUCCACUCAUUAGCUACUCAGUCUUCAUCCACACUCUUCUAUGCAUAUUUGAAUUUCAGCCAAGAUCACAACUCUAGGCUUCUACCUAACAGUAUACAGCUAUCUUUCAUUCAAGUGAAGACACUCUCACCCUCUGCCCACAGUAAGAAGACUGAAAGUCUCAAUAGUCAUCGUAAGCUGAUUACCUUCCCAAAUCAGUCAUGGUCUCAGCAGAAUAUUCUAUCACUUCAUUUCCCCCUUUAGGACUAAGAUCUCCAAAGCAGCAGAGCUUAAAGUUGCCAGGAUGGGAAGCAAAAAAAAAAUCCUCCCAAGUGGGUCAUUGGAUGUCAUAGUGAGAGGAGCCAAACCCACUUCCACCCUUUGAUUCCUGGCCCCACAUAAUCCGGA